rnacentral:pre_miRNA from 1 species
UGUGUACUCCCUCCGUUCCAAAAUACUUGACUUCCAUUUGUCCAAAAAUGGAUGUACCUAUAUACUAAAACAUGUCUAGAUACAUAUAUAUUUUGACAAAUAUAAGGCAUGUAUUGUGCAACAGAGGGAGUAGAAU